ACUUAAAGGAAUUGACGGGGGCCCGCACAAGCGGAGGAACAUGUGGUUUAAUUCGAUGAUACGCGAGGAACCUUACCCGGGCUCGAACGGCAAGUGAAGAGAGACAGAGAUGUUGACGUCCUUCGGGACACUUGUCGAGGUGCUGCAUGGUUGUCGUCAGCUCGUGCCGUGAGGUGUCGGCUCAAGUGCCAUAACGAGCGCAACCCCUGCUUCCAGUUACCAGCACGUAAAGGUGGGGACUCUGGAGGGACUGCCACCGCAAGGUGAGAGGAAGGGGAGGAUGACGUCAAAUCAGCACGGCCCUUACGUCCGGGGCGACACACGUGUUACAAUGGCGGCCACAGAGGGAAGCUACCCUGCGAGGGGAUGCGGAUCUCGAAAAGCCGUCUCAGUUCGGAUCGGAGUCUGCAACUCGACUCCGUGAAGCUGGAUUCGCUAGUAAUCGCGCAUCAGCCAUGGCGCGGUGAAUACGUUCCCGGGCCUUGUACACACCGCCCGUC
rnacentral:rRNA from 1 species